CCUACGGGAGGCAGCAGUGAGGAAUAUUGGUCAAUGGCCGGAAGGCUGAACCAGCCAUGCCGCGUGAAGGACAGAGCCCUAUGGGCGUUAAACUUCUUUUGUGCGGGAGCAAUAAUGGUCACGUGUGGCCAGACGAGAGUACCGUACGAAUAAGCAUCGGCUAACUCUGUGCCAGCAGCCGCGGUAAUACGGGGGAUGCAAGCGUUAUCCGGAUUUAUUGGGUUUAAAGGGUGCGUAGGCUGUGAUGUAAGUCAGCGGUGAAAUGCCCCCGCUCAACGGGGUGAAGUGCAGUUGAUACUGCGUUGUUAGAGUGCGAGGGCGGGGGGAGGAAUGUGUGGGGUAGCGGUGAAAUGCAUAGAUA
rnacentral:rRNA from 1 species